GCAACAAUCACGGUUAGCCAUAUAAGUCGAGUUUGUCGAUGAAACCCUAUGGCGAUAAGUCGGCCGAUGUACGUGGAUUAACGUCAAUAGCGGAAACACAAAAUACAGCGAAACAAUAACUAUGACGCGUAAGCGAGUAAUAAGUUUCCGUUCGAACCUUCGAUAUACCAUAAAUAUAAACUGAGAAACUUUGCGAACUCGAGCAUGAAUAGUUUAUAUAUAGUUGCUAUACCACGGCAGAAGCGAAAACACUUGUUCUUCGAUCGGCGCUGGUGAAAAUGAAGAUGAAGAACAGAAAAUGACGAAGGAAACGAAGGAAGACAAUUAAGCGAUAAAUGCGACAAAGGCGACGAAGAAACGAGAACCUGAUGUUCGUCAGAACGCGGGAAAGUUCCUUUCCUUUUCGACGAAUCCUUCGUGGAUUUAAGUAUUAUCACUGUUCGACACGACGACGACGACGAGAGCUUCUCGAGCUUAUUCGCACACCUUGUAAUGGCCGAGCUAGUGGAUACAAUGUCGACUGGCCGAUCGAGAAGAGUACGAGAGGUCGACCGGCUUCCUCGUCCUGUGCCGUUGAUCUUCGAGUGUUCGCGUGAACUGACGGUUUCGAGCUUCGUCGUCGAACGACGGCGACACCGGCAAAACGCCCACUCCUGCGUCACCACGUACAACCGAUUUUCGCGCUACCUGUGCGAGAGUGGUAGCUGAUCAGAGUUCUUUGGUUAAACAGAUGUCUAUCUCUUCUAUCGCCUAUUUCUUCUCUUUCUUCUAUUUCUCCUUCCAUUUUCUCGCACUUGUUUCUCGCUAUUUUCUCUCGUUAUCCAUACGAACCUACGAUAUAUCGUUCGAUCUCAUUUUCCUCGCAUUCUCCUCUUUCCUAAAGUUCACUCCGGCGUACGAAGACUAUGGAAAGUAUCAGCCGCCUUCUCCUCGGACGCGUAUCCUCAUUUUCCAACCGAGCGCUUUUCCAUCGUCUUCUACGCUUCUUUUUCCAAUCGGUUUAAUCCUCACGAAUCUGAAAACCUGCAAAUUUUCCUAGUUACGCGAAAGCAUACUGAUUAGCCAUACUAAUUAAUUAGCGUGUAAAUGAUAUUACAGUUUCAUUUCAACAUUGUUCGCGUCUCGUCUCUUCUAUCGUCUUCGUUCCUCCACCUGCAUUUUUACAAAACACCAGGGGAGCGCUGAAACGGAAUAAACGACAGAAUAAAUGCAACGACCUGCCGAUACUCUCUGUAGCCACUGUGCACGCUUUUUUACGACUUUGCUACGUACCGUUUUUUUACGAUAAUAUGGUACAACUUUGGAAACGUAACGGGACAAACAUGCAGAUUCUCUUGCGUUGUAAAGUUUCGCAAAAUUUCACGCAAACGAGGAUCGGUACAACGGAUAAUAUUAUAUUAGCGUGACAUCCGUGUCGCACGAAGACAAAAAGAUUUUCACGUUAGUUGGCGAAUACGAUUUUCUGACAUUUUGAUUUUGCCUCGUGAAAGAAGUGGAGUUGGUCGAUGUACUUCGGAUUCUGUUGACGACAUUAUUUUCGGUUUGCGAAGAGGCACGUGGCAUAAGGGCGAUCGUCAAUUACAUCGAACGAUUUUAUCGAACGUUAAAAUUACCGAUCGUUUCGCUUGGAAAUUUUGCGACCUGAUUUACGAACGAAGAAAAAUUAUUCUUUCUCUGUAUUUUCUUAUGCUGCGUCAAAAUCGACUGAAACUGUCCUCCGGCUGUUUCGUCUUCCAUACAACAACGAGAUAUUGUGAAAUUAGAUAUUUUUGCUUAGUUAAUGGUCACACGAUGUACAAGAAAGUCUGCUCGACAGUGGUGUGCAUGAUCGUAAAAGUAAACGAUGAAAACAGAAAUAUGUUCAACUCGGGGAAAAGUGUGCGAUGCUAACAAUAGCGUGAUAUCUUCAAAACAUUUUUAAAUUAUUACGCAACGCUGAAAUUAUUAAGACACGCUUUACGCAUCAUUCGACAAGAUAUCGUCUUUCGCGCAAUUCAUUUUCUGUAAGAAAUAAACUACGAUCGGAUAAGUUAAUUGUACGCGUUACGAAACAACGUGUUACAUCGUUACACGUAAAACCAUUGCUUCGCUUGCGUUUUCACAAUUUUAUUCUUCGGGUGUCGUUCUUCUCGGGUUCUUUGACAGGUUGACCUUGUUGAAAUUGUUCGUUUCAAACGAAACAUAAAAUCGAGUUGACAAAUUUCAAUCUCUUCAACCAUCAGUCUCCAAAUAUCGCUUUCCAACAGAUUCCACGUCGAGUCCACAGGGUCGAUUUUAUAAUAAAAAGAUUUCUACGGAAUAAAAGUUUGAAACUGAAGCAAUUUUUCUAGUAAAAUUGUACGCUUUGUCCUAAACGCAGGUGAGAGAUUUAAAUUUUCGACUAGUCUGACGUUAGAAAAUAUUUUACUCGACCAGAGCAAUCGAAAUUGAAACGUUGCAUAAAUUCCGUUAUAAAAUUCAUCUAGACUUUCUCUGACAUUGGAUUCCGUGAAAAAUUAAAUUUCCCAUCGAUGUACUGGAUUUAAGCGUAUAACGAAACGUGCGAUUCUCGUAUAACGGAACGACGCUUUUAUAGAUUUGCACCUGUGCACGACACUACGUUGUUCUUUGGUGUCAAGUGUAACGCCUAUCGAGCGUGAAGGUGCAGAAGAAUGUAUUAAAUAUGAGCAUUCUAUAGUUAACUGUUAGUGGAACACGUUGGAAUUGCAAAGUUUUACGUGUGCAAUUUAUAAUACAAAACGAUGCAUAUUUACUAUGUUUAACCGAACUGUUGUAUCCGUUUAAUUAUUUUAUUUUAUGCUAAUGCCAUUCGUGUCGCUCUAUUAACGCAUAUAUAUACGACAUUUUGUCGAAUAAAUAACGAUGAAUUUUAA